rnacentral:tRNA from 1 species
UCCCUGAAGGACUAGUGGUUAGGCCACAGAGCUCUCGCCACUGCAGCCUGCGUUCGAUUCCCGGUGAGGGAA